CAGGGAUAAUUUUGUAUGGAGAGUUAAUCUCUGAUUCAACCUGCGAAGUAGAAGGUGGCGCUAAUUUGCACACUACACUGAUUCCUUACCGCUCUUUGGAAAAACACAGAAGAAGAAAAGUUUGAACAACGCAGCAAGGCGGGAAGCAGCAGACAGUAGGGUUGCAGAAACUACCUACGCAGCAGCAAUCAGGCUCACUGGACUUACUUUUCAGAUCAGUUUAUGCCUUUGCAUCUUGCUGUUCCAGUUUCAAGAAGUUAAGGAAGAUAACUGGAGAUGUGAUAACGAUACCAGACUGAGAAGAAACUGACCCUCAUUAGAAAGAUGAUGGAG